CCCAGCGAGGCUGCGAAGGCGGCGGCACUGCUGGCCUUUUCAUCGGCUGACCUACCGCUUUCGCAGCCUCGCUAAA
rnacentral:antisense_RNA from 1 species